GACGAACGCUGGCGGCGUGCCUAAUACAUGCAAGUUGAGCGAUGAAGCUUGGUGCUUGCGCCAAUUUGAAGAGCAGCUAACGGGUGAGUAACGCGUGGGUAAUCUGCCUUUGAGCGGGGGACAACAUUUGGAAACGAAUGCUAAUACCGCAUAAUAACUUUAAACAUAAGUUUUAAGUUUGAAAGAUGCAAUUGCAUCACUCAAAGAUGAUCCCGCGUUGUAUUAGCUAGUUGGUGAGGUAAAGGCUCACCAAGGCGAUGAUACAUAGCCGACCUGAGAGGGUGAUCGGCCACAAUGGGACUGAGACACGGCCCAAACUCCUACGGGAGGCAGCAGUAGGGAAUCUUUGGAAAUGGACGAAAGUCUGACCGAGCAACGCCGCGGGAGGGAAGAAGGUUUUCGGAUCGUAAAACUCUGUUGGUAGAGAAGAACGUUGGGGAGAGUGGAAAGCUCAUCAAGUGACGGUAACUACCCAGAAAGGGACGGCUAACUACGUG
rnacentral:rRNA from 1 species